rnacentral:rRNA from 1 species
AUGAACGCUGGCGGCGUGCCUAAUACAUGCAAGUCGAGCGAACAGACGAGGAGCUUGCUCCUCUGACGUUAGCGGCGGACGGGUGAGUAACACGUGGAUAACCUACCUAUAAGACUGGGAUAACUUCGGGAAACCGGAGCUAAUACCGGAUAAUAUAUUGAACCGCAUGGUUCAAUAGUGAAAGACGGUUUUGCUGUCACUUAUAUAUGGAUCCGCGCCGCAUUAGCUAGUUGGUAAGGUAACGGCUUACCAAGGCAACGAUGCGUAGCCGACCUGAGAGGGUGAUCGGCCACACUGGAACUGAGACACGGUCCAGACUCCUACGGGAGGCAGCAGUAGGGAAUCUUCCGCAAUGGGCGAAAGCUUGACGGAGCAACGCCGCGUGAGUGAUGAAGGUCUUCGGAUCGUAAAACUCUGUUAUUAGGGAAGAACAAAUGUGUAAGUAACUAUGCACGUCUUGACGGUACCUAAUCAGAAAGCCACGGCUAACUACGUA